UACGAACUGUGCGAACGUUAUUCGGAAUCACUGGGCUUACAGGGUGCGUAGGCGGCUUAGCAAGUCAGGUGUGAAAGCCCCCGGCUCAACCGGGGAACUGCGCUUGAAACUGCUGAGCUCGAGUCAGCUAGAGGUACACGGAACUUCCAGUGGAGCGGUGAAAUGUGUUGAUAUUGGAAGGAACACCGGUGGCGAAGGCGGUUCUCUGGGCCUGUCCUGACGCUGAGGCGCGAAAGCUAGGGGAGCGAACAGG
rnacentral:rRNA from 1 species